AGUGAACGCUGGCGGUAGGCCUAACACAUGCAAGUCGAACGGCAGCACAGUAAGAGCUUGCUCUUACGGGUGGCGAGUGGCGGACGGGUGAGGAAUACAUCGGAAUCUACUUUUUCGCGGGGGAUAACGUAGGGAAACUUACGCUAAUACCGCAUACGACCUACGGGUGAAAGCAGGGGAUCUUCGGACCUUGCGCGAUUGAAUGAGCCGAUGUCGGAUUAGCUAGUUGGCGGGGUAAAGGCCCACCAAGGCGACGAUCCGUAGCUGGUCUGAGAGGAUGAUCAGCCACACUGGAACUGAGACACGGUCCAGACUCCUACGGGAGACAGCAGUGGGGAAUAUUGGACAAAGGGCGCAAGCCUGAUCCAGCCAUACCGCGUGGGUGAAGAAGGCCUUCGGGUUGUAAAGCCCUUUUGUUGGGAAAGAAAAGCAGCAGGUUAAUACCCCGCUGUUCUGACGGUACCCAAAGAAUAAGCACCGGCUAACUUCGUG
rnacentral:rRNA from 1 species